rnacentral:rRNA from 1 species
UGGGGAAUAUUGCACAAUGGGCGAAAGCCUGAUGCAGCGACGCCGCGUGAGGGAUGACGGCCUUCGGGUUGUAAACCUCUUUCAGCAGGGAAGAAGCGCAAGUGACGGUACCUGCAGAAGAAGCACCGGCUAACUACGUGCCAGCAGCCGCGGUAAUACGUAGGGUCCGAGCGUUGUCCGGAAUUAUUGGGCGUAAAGGGCUCGUAGGCGGUUUGUCGCGUCGGGAGUGAAAACAUCUGGCUUAACUGGGUGCUUGCUUUCGAUACGGGCAGACUGGAGGUAUGCAGGGGAGAACGGAAUUCCUGGUGUAGCGGUGAAAUGCGCAGAUAUCAGGAGGAACACCGGUGGCGAAGGCGGUUCUCUGGGCAUGACCUGACGCUGAGGAGCGAAAGUGUGGGGAGCGAAC